rnacentral:rRNA from 1 species
UUGAACGCUGGCGGCAGGCCUAACACAUGCCAGUCGAGCGGAUGAAGGGAGCUUGCUCCUGGAUUCAGCGGCGGACGGGUGAGUAAUGCCUAGGAAUCUGCCUGGUAGUGGGGGAUAACGUCCGGAAACGGGCGCUAAUACCGCAUACGUCCUGAGGGAGAAAGUGGGGGAUCUUCGGACCUCACGCUAUCAGAUGAGCCUAGGUCGGAUUAGCUAGUUGGUGGGGUAAAGGCCUACCAAGGCGACGAUCCGUAACUGGUCUGAGAGGAUGAUCAGUCACACUGGAACUGAGACACGGUCCAGACUCCUACGGGAGGCAGCAGUGGGGAAUAUUGGACAAAGGGCGAAAGCCUGAUCCAGCCAUGCCGCGUGUGUGAAGAAGGUCUUCGGAUUGUAAAGCACUUUAAGUUGGGAGGAAGGGCAGUAAGUUAAUACCUUGCUGUUUUGACGUUACCAACAGAAUAAGCACCGGCUAACUUCGUG